AUCUAGCUGAAGAGUCCCAAAUAAGACGAAGUGGCACGCGUUCUAGAU
rnacentral:hammerhead_ribozyme from 1 species